rnacentral:rRNA from 1 species
UGGGGAAUCUUCCACAAUGGGCGAAAGCCUGAUGGAGCGACGCCGCGUGAGAGAGGAAGGUUUUCGGAUCGUAAAGCUCUGUCGAGUGGGAAGAAAUGUAUCAUGGCUAAUAUCCAUGAUACUUGACGGUACCGCUAAAGGAAGCACCGGCUAACUCCGUGCCAGCAGCCGCGGUAAUACGGGGGGUGCAAGCGUUGUUCGGAAUUAUUGGGCGUAAAGAGCGUGUAGGCGGCUGAAUAAGUCAGAUGUGAAAUCCCUGGGCUUAACCCAGGAAGUGCAUUUGAAACUGUUCAGCUUGAGUAGGGGAGAGGAAAGUGGAAUUCCUGGUGUAGAGGUGAAAUUCGUAGAUAUCAGGAGGAACACCGGUGGCGAAGGCGACUUUCUGGCCCUAUACUGACGCUGAGACGCGAGAGCGUGGGUAGCAGACAGG